GUGGCAAGCGUUAUCCGGAAUUAUUGGGCGUAAAGCGCGCGUAGGCGGUUUUUUAAGUCUGAUGUGAAAGCCCACGGCUCAACCGUGGAGGGUCAUUGGAAACUGGAAAACUUGAGUGCAGAAGAGGAAAGUGGAAUUCCAUGUGUAGCGGUGAAAUGCGCAGAGAUAUGGAGGAACACCAGUGGCGAAGGCGACUUUCUGGUCUGUAACUGACGCUGAUGUGCGAAAGCGUGGGGAUCAAACAG
rnacentral:rRNA from 1 species